GAAGGGCAGCGGAUGGGAGGCUCAAGAGGAAGGAUGCUGCAGAAUGAGCAGGUGGUGGGUCCGACUCCAGAUGAAUUCAACAGUCUGGCAGAAUUUGCAGCAGGAUGAGAAACCAGAGGUUUGGGAGAGGGCAUUGGCAGGGAAGGGAGCGAGUUUUGCUUCACGGUUAUAUUUGCAGAAAGGGAAAAUGAUGCUCCUGAUUUAAAUUUGCCUGAGUUUUUAUUUGAAUUGUGAGAUUGGGAUCAACUCUGAAACUUGUUUUCAAGGCUGAAGGCAUCUUCUUAGAAUACAUGAAGUUUUGACUAUAGAGUCAGUACUUGGAAGAAUGGUUCCUAGAAUCGUCCAGGCUGGCUGAAUGAUAUAGUCCCCUGAAAUUAACAUAGGAAUUACUCUAGAAAUGCACCAUUAUAGACAAGGAUGCACCAUGUAUUGUCAAAGGCUUUCAUGGCCAGAAUCAUUGGGUUGCUGUGAGCUUUCCAGGCUGUAUGGCUAUGUCCCAGAAGCAUUUUCUCCUGAUGUUUUGUCCACAUCUAUGGAAGGCAGUAGCCCCUGUGACGGAGUGUGUAAAAGCACUGAGCUGGAGACCGAAAGGUCCCAGGUUCAAGCCCCGGGAGCGGCGUGAGCGGUCGCUGUUAGCUCCAACUCCUGCCAACCUAGCAGUUUGAAAACAUGCCAAUGUGAAUAGAUCAAUAGGUACCGCUCCGGCGGGAAGGUAACGGUGCUCCAUGCAGUCAUGCCGGCCACAUGACCCUGGAGGUGUCUAGGGACAACCCUGGCUCUUUGGCUUAGUAAUGGAGAUGAGCACCAACCCCCAGAGUCAGACAUGACUGGACUUAACGUCAGGGGAAAACCUUUACCUUUACCUAUGGAAGGCAUCUUCACAAUCUCUGAGGAUACUGCCAUACAUGUGGGUAAAACGUCAGGAGAGGAUGCUUCUGGAACAUGGCCAUACAGCCCGGAAAACUCACAAAAACCCAAGAUGCUCCAUAUUUGGAAUCAGCACUAAUAUGACUCCCAGGACACUGGAUUCGAAUCUCUAUCUCACUUGCUGCCAUAUACAUAUAUGCCAGUAUCAGAACAGACUCGAAGUUAAAGUUUCUCAUUUCACCCAUUCCCAAUUAGUGGUAAUGUUAGGGUACUUGUUCCCAAAUGAUCACUUGAGAGGUUUCCUUGGCAUCUAAAUUCAAUGACUUGAUGGUUUUUCUAGAUCAGUGGUUUUCAGCUUUCGACCCCUUAAUAUAGUUCCUCAUGAUGUGGUGGCCCCCAACCAUAAGAUUAUUUUUGUUGCUCCUUCAUAACUGUAAUUCUGCUACUGUUAUAAAUCGUAAUGUAAAUAUCCGAUAUGCAGGAUGUAUUUUCAUUCACUAGACCAAAUUUGGCACAAAUACCCGAUAUGCCCAAAUUUGAAUACUGAGGUUGUUCGGUGUGUGUGUGUGUGUGUGUGUGUUGAUUUUGUCAUUUGGGAAUUGUAGUUUCUGGAAUUUAUAGUUCGCCUACAAUCAAAGAGAAUUCUGAACUCCACCAAUGAUGGAGUUGAACCAAACUUGGCACACAGAACUCCCAUGAUGUACAGAAAAUACUGGAAGGGUUUGGUGGGCAUUGACCUUGAGUUUUGGAUUUGUAGUUCACCUGCAUCCAGAGAGCACUGUAAACUCAAACAAUGAUGGAUCUGGACCAAACUUGGUAUGAAUACUCAAUAUGCCCAAAUGUGAACACUGAUGGAUUUUGGGGAAAAUAGAACUUGACAUUUGGAAGUUGUAGUUGCUGAGAUUUAUAGUUCACCUACAAGCAAAGAGCAUUCUGAACUCCACCAACAAUAGAAUUGGGCCAAACUUCCCACACACCAACCCCAUGAACAGCAGAAAAUAUUGGAGGGAUUUCGGAAGAAUUGACAGUGAUUUAGGAGAGAUGUAGUUCACCUACCUCCAGAGAGUCUUUGAUGACUCCGAUGAUACCCCCCUCAAGACCCCCCCCCCCAGGGGUCCCGACCCCCAGGUUGAGAACUGCUGGUCUAGAUGUUGGAUUCCAGUCUCUAGCAGCCAAUUUCAGUCUAACCCUUAGUAAGAGGUGAUGGAAACUCUCAGGCCUGUAGCCGGGGUGUGUGUGUGUGUGUGUGUGUGUAGGGGUUCAACCCCCCCCCCCUGAAUUUUUUCAGGUUAAAAAAAACCUGGUUUACUCAUGAAUUUUAACUGGUUAACCAAAUCCCCAUGCUAUGUCUAUGAGACGCAAAAAAUUAAGAGUCCCUCCAGGCACUAUCUCAAGCAGAUAUUGACAGGUCUGAACCUGGGGGGCGGGUGGGUCAGGGGUUCAACCCCCCCUCCCCGAAAUUUUCAAAACCCCUCCGGAAAUUUUUUUCUGGCUACGGCCCUGGGAACUCUAAUUCAGUAAAAUCUGAGGAUCCUCAUAUUCUAAAGCCCUGAAGGUGAUGGAAAAGGUCUCUUCCUGAAGCCCUCAAUCAGUUGCUGCUGCUGCUACUGUUUUUGUUGUUGCUUGCCUUCAGGUCUUUUCCAGCUUAUACUGACCACAAAGUGAAUUUCCUAGUUCAACACUCAAACAACACUCAUACAACAAAGGAUUUUGAUCAGACAAUACAAACUGAUGCCUGUGAGUCCUCAGAAUCGUAGCGAAACUCAUCUUGGGAUGUGGGAGGCUGCCCUAAACAAGGUGAGAUGGACAAAAUGGUCUGACUCAGGUAUGUAGACUCCAGCACCCUCAUUCCCUUUCCUUGACUGCUGGUGCAUGAGGCUUCAUUUCAUGGCUUGUGUGUGAUGAUGAUGAUGUGACAGUUCGGUUUGUCGCUCUCUUCUGUUUCCACAGCAGCUGCUGCAGAGGACAGGAAAGGUGCACUCGCAGGGCACCAGUGAAGUCAGUCUGACUCAUCCACUCAGUUGGGAUUCACCCUUCUCACAAAGAAGGGAGGCCAUGUAGAGGAUGGAGACAGCUUGUUUUCUUCUGCUUCCAAGACUAGAAAAUGAACCAGUGGAUUUAAAUUACAAGUAGAUUUCACUUAAACAUAAAACAGACAAGCAUCUUGAGCUCUGAGUAUUACCUGGGAAGGAAUCCCACUGGAGCAGUGCAGCACACCAAAAUACCUGGGAUUCACUCUGGACCAUGCUCUGACUUAUAAGAAGUAUAUCAAGCAAAAGUGAAUAUCAAGCAAAAAGUGGUUGCUAGAAAUAAUAUACAAAAGCUGACUGGCACAACCUGGGAAUCAAAACCAGAUACAGUGAAGACAUCUGCCCUUGCGCUUUGCUACUCCGCUGCUGAAUACGCAUCCCAGUGUGGAAUACAUCUCGCCACGUUAAAAAAGUGGAUGUGGCUCUUAAUGAGACAUGACACAUGAUCACAGGAUGUCUACACCCUACAUUGCUGGAGGAACUAUACUGUUUAGUAGGUAUUACACCACCUGAUAUCUGUUGGGAAGUAGCAGCCAAUAAUGAAGGACCAAGGUAGUGAUAUCUCUAGCCCAUCCUCUGUUCAGAUAUCAGGCAGCAUUCCAAUGCUUUAAAUGAAGAAACAGCUUCCUAAGAUCUACAGAGAUACUCACAGGAAUGCCUCCAAAAGUGGCAGGCUAAAACCCGGAACCUCAGUGAGUGGCUGAUACGGGAUGAGAAACUCCCUCGUGGGCACACAGAAGACUGGGCAACUUGGAAGGCGCUGGACAGACUGCGCUCUGCCACCAUGAAAUGCAGAGUCAAUCUUAAAAAAUGGGGCUACAAAGCAGAGUCCACAACAUGCAAAUGUGGAGAAGAACAAAUUACAAACCACUUACUAGCAGCCUGAGCCCUGCCACAUGCACAAUGGAGGACCUUCUCACAGCGACACCAGAGUCACUCCAAGUGGCCAGCUUCUGGUCAAAGGAGAUCUACCAUGUUUCCCCGAAAAUAAGACAGUGUCUUAUAUUAAUUUUUGCUCCCAAAGAUGCUCUAGGUCUUAUUUUCAGGGAUGUCUUAUUUUUCCAUGAAGAAGAAUUCACAUUUAUUGUUGAACAAAAAAAUGAACAUUUAUUAUAUACUGUACAUUAGUUGUCAUCACAAACCAGCAUAACCAAACUGUGAAUCCUAUCAAGAAUUUUUUGUUACUACCAUUCAUUCCAUGUCCAACACUCUACGGUACGUACAUUUACCGAUCCUGCAUGCUCUGGUGUUCUGUUCAUUGGGCAUGCUUCCAAACAAAAUUUUUUCUAGGUCUUACUUUUGGGGGAGGCUUUAUAUUUAGCAAUUCAGCAAAACCUGUACUAGGUCUUAUUUUCUGGGGAUGUGUUAUUUUAGGGGAAACAGGGUAGUAUAAUGCCAAGUUUUUAACUUUGUGUGUGUUUUUAAAAAAAUACAUUAUAACUGUACUCUCAAUUUGCUUCUGAUGUGAUAAAACUAUAUUCUACCCUGCUUCGAGCCUUGAUGUAAGGUGGGUAGGAAAUAAAUAAUAAUAAUAAUAAUAAUAAUAAUAAUAAUAAUAAUAAUUAUUAUUAUUAUUAUUAUUAUUAUAUCAAACACAUUUUCACAUGCUCCUUUUCAGUCUGGGUUGCUGUCCUUUCUGCUAAUGAUUCCUCCAUAUUCUCUUUCCCUGCCAAAGAAUUCCUCUUUUGGGAAGUAAGAAGCAAGCAAAGAUUGAGGGACAGAUGAGAUAAAGGCUUAUGAUAACUGAAUGAAAGCCCAGCAGCAAAUGACUUGAGAUGCUUUGGGAUUUGUCCCAGAGAUGACAGACUCAACUUGGCAUGUAUUUUUACAGAAUGCAGCCCGUGGCCCCUGAUUCUUUGCUCACUAAUGCUUUUCUUGGAAAUGUGCUGCCCUCUUGUGACAAAUCCAGUAGACUGUGUGGGUUGAUAUUAAGCAUUAAUCAGAACAUGUUUAAUUAUUGUCUUCCCAAAGUGAAUCGGCAGUCAUUGCUCGUUCCUUGUUCUUAUUUUUUAUUGUUUAAUAUAUAAUUAUAUAAAGAGUUACAUUUCUAAAAGCUCUGUCCUGCUUUGGAGGGAUUAAUGUGGCAUUUUUUAAAAAAAUUGAGCAAUAAAGGAAUAAAUAAAGAGACCAUCUCAACAUCAAUAAAGAUCAAAUGAGAAAGGA